rnacentral:rRNA from 2 species
CAUCCUCCAAGGCUAAAUACUCCUGACUGACCGAUAGUGAACCAGUACCGUGAGGGAAAGGCGAAAAGAACCCCGGCGAGGGGAGUGAAAAAGAACCUGAAACCGUGUACGUACAAGCAGUGGGAGCACCCUUUUGGGUGUGACUGCGUACCUUUUGUAUAAUGGGUCAGCGACUUAUAUUCUGUAGCAAGGUUAACCGCAUAGGGGAGCCGGAGGGAAACCGAGUCUUAAUUGGGCGUUAAGUUGCAGGGUAUAGACCCGAAACCCGGUGAUCUAGCCAUGGGCAGGUUGAAGGUUGGGUAACACUAACUGGAGGACCGAACCGACUAAUGUUGAAAAAUUAGCGGAUGACCUGUGGCUGGGGGUGAAAGGCCAAUCAAACCGGGAGAUAGCUGGUUCUCCCCGAAAGCUAUUUAGGUAGCGCCUCGUGAAUUCAUCUCCGGGGGUAGAGCACUGUUUCGGCUAGGGGGCCAUCCCGGCUUACCAACCCGAUGCAAACUGCGAAUACCGGAGAAUGUUAUCACGGGAGACACACGGCGGGUGCUAACGUCCGUCGUGAAGAGGGAAACAACCCAGACCGCCAGCUAAGGUCCCAAAGUCAUGGUUAAGUGGGAAACGAUGUGGGAAGGCCCAGACAGCCAGGAUGUUGGCUUAGAAGCAGCCAUCAUUUAAAGAAAGCGUAAUAGCUCACUGGUCGAGUCGGCCUGCGCGGAAGAUGUAACGGGGCUAAACCAUGCACCGAAGCUGCGGCAGCGA